GUGUUUGUGUGUUUGGCAAAGAGCGGCAAAACAGGACGACUGUGCCCGGCUACUCUUGGCAGAGACACGCCGAGGAACAGACAGAGUUGUCGAUGCAGAGGAGAGACGAAGGAUGAAAGAAGUAGAUUCACCGGCACUGAAGGCUGCUGAUCCUCUCUUACCUGUUGUCCUGCUGCAGGUGCGUCCGGCUCAGCCCCCCCACAUUCAGAGGGGCGACACCUCCUGAGGGGAGCGAUUGAAGGAUGGAGGGAUGAAACACCCUGCAGGGAUCAUUGUGGUGACGGAUAACGAGGGGCAGGAAAAUAUUUCAGACUGUUUUCCUUCCUCUGCCAGGAUGUCUUGGAGUGGGGCACCUCACCGCUGUGGGACACUUUACCUGCGUGGAUCUGCUGGAUUAUUACCUGAGUGACACCUGGGCAGACUGCUGGGGUGGAUUAUUAAAGGUUGUUCUCUGCGACAGGCUGUUACCUGAAGUCUCUUCCUAUGAUUCGUUUACUGUUCACACCCAUCUUUUGUCUCCCCUUCCUCCCUCCACCCAUCUCCAAAAACACCACAGCAACCCAUGUCAAGGGCUCGCGGAAAGAAGACAGCGGAGCUCCACACAGGCAGCGGGGCUGCACGAAGCUGCACGCCGGCAACAGCGCACCGGUUGACGGAUGGAAACCGCGCGGACUACCGGGGGACUUUCUCGGGGGGUGGAACAUGAAGACGGUACCGCCGGGUUGGACGUUUCACAGCCGGCUUCGAGAGCUCUAUCCCGGGCAAGUUGAGGCGCUCUUUCCCAGGAGGAGUGAGGGGAAGCUACGGAGGAGGUUGAGCGAAAAAUGGCAUCUUGUUUAAUUUGUGCCAAUCAAGACGAGAGGAAGACAACUCCCCAAACUGGCAUGCCUGCGGAUGGCCCCAUCAAGCCAAAGUCUGCUUAAAAAGGGGGAAGACUUUUCGACCAAAAUGUCCAUCGUCCCCAGUGACAUAACCGGAUGGUGAAGACACGAUCUACAGACCAGGACAAGCAGGAACCGGAUGGCUCAAAUGGGAACUGAGGAGCAGCGCCUGCUGUAAUCUCCACUGUUCAAUUAGCUGCACUGACCGAGGCGCCACCUACACUUCAUUAACACAGAGGGGAAGGUGAUGCUGAUGGUGUAACAUGGAGCCAGGAUGGAGUCAAAGAGGCUGCAGAGUAAAUGAGAGCUUGCUGUCAGUGGUGUGAGCCAUUUCCAGGUGAAGCAAACUGAAUUAAAGUGAAUCGAGCUGAACGGAUCUGAACUGGAAUGACCUGAAAUGAAUUGAAAUGAAAGCUCUCUCUGAGGUUUUGGGGGAAAAUGUUCAAACAGAAAAACCUGAGAAUGACACAGAUGGAAACCUUCCGUCAUGUCUGCCUGUUUCUGAAGGAUUUCCUGUAUUUUUUUUCAAAAUGUUGUGUUUAUUUGUCUUUACAUGAUGUUUAAUACCACGAAUAAAGCCUUCAGUCCCAACCAGUGAUUGUGUCACUG